CCUCAUCUCCAGCUCACUGUACAAAUGUUCAACGGUUAGUGUUUUGAGUUAUACAUUUCUGCGACACGACGAAUUUCAAAUUGUGACAAAAAACCGCAGUGGAGAAAGCACCAAGAAAACCCCGACCCCGCGCCCGAAAACACGUACUGUGACAGAACCUACAGCUCGGCGGUUGAGACGAUUGAUCGAGGAAACUGAUCGGGAGGAUUCACUGACAAGCUGCUUCCCACAUUAGUCACUCUGUUUCUCUGUUUUUCACACUCACUCCCUGAUUAACUCUUGAGAAAGGAGAGGAAUGGGAUAAGAGCCCAGGCCCACUGCAGAGCGAGAGAAAGAGAGAGGAAGGAGGGAGAGGCUGGGGCACAGGAUAAAACUGCUCAUCCAUACAGAAUGAUGGAGUGAUUGAGUGUCAGUGCUGCUUGCUGACUUUCACUUUUCCUGCAGGAACUCUUGCCUGUUCCUUCCUCUUGCUCCUCAGCUGCACCUUUACUUGAUGUUGUGGGAAACGUUCCAGUGUUGACAUCACCAUUCUCAAGCAGAUAUUGCCUCAUGGGGAAAAUAUCCUAACUCUAGGUUAAACCCCUCAUUUUUCAGCACAGUCACAUGGAAUGUGUCUUUUAAAAAAUAUAUAUAUAUUUUUUUAUUUCAUCGCUCACACUCUGUCACUCUUUCUGCUCAGAGCUGUUGAAUUCAAACAGUGCCGUGUUCUCACAUUUUGAUCUAAUCUAAUAAGUGUAUGUAAUAGGCUGUAGACAAGUCAUUCUUGCCAGUACUGAACCCAAACCAGUUCAGAUCCUUCAGCAGCCAGAUUCAUAUCCAAUAUCAGUAACAAGAUCAGUAGCACUCCAGUCUAGGUACAUUAUGGACCUACUCAGGGGUGGAUAAAAUCAUAAAUUAAUUAGCUACCACAAUAGGCAAAGGAAAAGGCUUCAGUGUGCUGCCCAGUCUUGAGGUUAGGUUUCCCUGGAAACUGACUAGGCCAAAAAGUGAUAAGUUGGCUAACAUUUCAGCUAUGAGACAUGGUGUUGUGUCCUCGCAGUGCACAUGAAUGAUAUUAUUUAAGUCUGGCUAGCUUCUUUAUUUUACCUCUUAAUAUGAUUAACCAUACGGUGACUUCUGGUGAAUGCUGUGUACGUUAUUUUUUCUGUUUCAUUGGUGUUUCCAUGUAACUGUGUCUUCCUGAUUAGGAAAAAAUGUCUGCCGUCCCCACACAAUAAUUAGUAGAACUGUCAGGACUGGUUUCAAUAUUCUAAAUAAGGCACUAUAGUUAGAGCAUCAAGGUGCAUCACAGCAAACUGAAGUGUGCUUACUUGAACAGUGCUUACUUAUUAAAUGAAAACAUUCAUCUCGCGAAAGUCAAUAAGUAGUAGGCCGCUUUUAUUUUUUGUCUUUUUCUAGUUGUUGAACCUAUUUGAAUAAAAAAUGAAUAUUCAAAAAAAAUAAUGAUAUUAGCAAUAUUUCAGAAAAGUGUAUCAUGACAUAAUUUCUCACAAUAUUGAUAUUCAAUUCAAUUUUAUUUGUAUAGCGCUUUUUACAAUGGUCAUUGUCUCAAAUGAGCUUUACAGAAACGUAUAAACAUGGGAUACAGAUUUUAAGUGUGUGAAUUUAUACAAAUUGAGCGAGCCGGUGGCGACGGUGGUGAGGAAAAACACCCUAAGAUGAUAUGAGGAAGAAACCUUGAGAGGAACCAGACUCAGAAGGGAACCCGUCCUCAUCUGGGUAACACCGGAUAGUAAAAGAAAGUUCAUUAUGGUAUGAGAUGCUAUAUGAUAUGAAAGAGAGCUAGAUUUCUUCAACACAUGGGAAAGCCCUGAGUGACAAACAUAUUAAAUGAAUAAAUAGAGUCCUGGUUAAAUUUAUCCUUUAAAGGUGAAAGGUCAUAUCAGGCUUUCCACUAGAUUUUGGAGCGUGGCUCCAUCCAGUGUGGGGAUGUGUGAUCAUUCAGCUACAAGAGCAUUAGUGAGGUCAGGCACUGAUUUCGGGUGAGGAGGCCUGGGGUUCAGUCAGUGUUCCAGUUCAUCCCAAAUGUGUUCAGUUGAGUUGAGGACAGGGCACUGUGCAGGACACUCGUGUUCUUCCACAACAGCCUUGGCCAACCUUGUCUUCAUGGAGCUCGCUUUGUGCAGAGGACCAAUCACUGCCAUGCUGGAACAGGUUUGGAUCUCUUGGUUCCAGUGAAGGGAAACUGUAAUGCUGCCUCAUAUUACAAAGACACUUUGUACAAUUCCAUGCUUUCAACUUUCAAUGUGGGAACAGUUUGGGGAAAACCACGUGUGUGUGUGUAUGUGAUGUACAUCAAGUGUAUUGGCAGAGUCCAUUCAGCUUUAAUAUCACAGGAUGAUUCGUCGCACUUCAGUCUUGUGUGUUUUUAAAGUACGUGCUCUGUGUUUCAGCUGUUUGUGUUUCCUCAAGUUUCCUCCUAUCACAACUAAUCUGGUUAUUUCCUGAAAGCAAUGACUUGCUUUAAGUAAAACAGAAUCGCUGCAUGUUUUUGAUCCUCCUAGACAGAAUGAUUUCUUUCAAUUAACAAAGUAUAUAGAUCAUUAAACCUGAACCAGGAUUAUAUACAUAUUGCUCUGGAACAAAUUACAUCCUUAAAUAUAGUAUGUAAGGCUUUUUAUUAUCCGUUUGCAUUAUUAUUUUUUUGUUUAGGAAGAAUGCCUGGAUUUAAUUACUUUGUCACUGUUAUUGUAAGUAAACAGCAAGCAGACAUAGAAGUGGAAGCGGUAAAAGAGUGAAAGAGAAGAUUCUGCAUGACUGUUUCUGAAAGUAUUGAGCACUCCGUCGAGGGUGAAUUUGUUCUUCUUUACUGACUUCGACUUUGCAACACUGACUCUUUCUCUCUUUUUCUCUCUUCUUCCUUGAUUUAUUAGACCAUCAUGGUUUCUCAUGUCUUUGUGUAGCCUGUCUCUUGCCACAUCUCUUCACUCUUUUUAUUCUCUGCUGCACGGAUGAUGUAUCUGAGGUAUGUUUUACACGUGCCUCGCAGUGUAAUCAGAAGUGUGCUUUGAGUAUGCCUCGCGUGAGUCAGGCAGUCGUUUUAGCAAUAGCACUCAUCCAGAUCACAGUGAUGGAAACAAAAUAUAUGCAAAGUGUUAACAGUAUCCCCGGCUCUGUUUGGAUUUGUUUUGUCAUUUGUCAGUUUGUAUUUGAAUAGAUUAUAUUCACUUCUACAAAGUUGCGAUCAAAAUGAUACAACCCCCAUUGCAAAUCAGGUUAAUUGUCAGAAUUGACAGACUUUCAGCUGUUUGCGAUGAACAAAUCAAACAAAAGCAAUCGAAAUAGUUCGACACAGCGAAUGCUUCAAGUGGUUUCCCCGAAUUCAACUGAAAAUCGAUUGCAACUGUAUUUAGCCUUCCUUUUCAGAACCUAACUACACAAUGAAACCAAACUAUUUACAAAUGGUACGAAUGACCACAACUGAAGAGUUUUAUUCAGAUGUUAGCUUGACCUUACGAGGUCACAGUUUGGGCCAGUGUGGACAACUCUUUUCUCUUUGAGCCAGUGCAAGCUCAAAAUGACGCUACAAAUUGACAGAUGACUCCAUAGACUAAUUUGCAUCUUAAUCAUGUUUAUUUGCAUAGCAAAACAUGUUUCAUGAAGAAGGAAGGUUUUCUGAAAACAGAAUAGAGUAAGUGUUAUCAGAAUAUACCAAAAUAUGGAUUAGAACAUCUGUCAUAGAAAGACAUUGUCUUUGGUCAUGGCAACACAAAGAAAUGGUAGUGUUCACUUCCAGUCAGCCUGAUUAGAAUGACUGGCAGUCCCGUGUGGUCUCCAUGUAAAACUGAGGCAUUAACAACGCCCUUGCCAAGCAGCAUUCCCUCGAGCCAGAAUACACAAGGUGUUUCCUUAAUCUUCCCUCUAAUGCAACUCCGCAAGAUAGUCUAGAUGAGUCUGGUUCUAUUUAUAUCUCCAGCUCAUCUUUCCUAAACAUGACUUCUGACUGGAGUUCACAGUUCUUACACUCCUUACGUCAGUAAAUCACAGAUCUAUUGUUUACUAUCAGAUUUGGCAUGUCCUGUAUAGUGGAGCUUUGUUGUGUGUCUGUUCAGCUGAUGCCAUCAAAUGCAUUAAGCCUGAGUGGUUUCUGUGUGGUUUUACUUUUUAUAAGGUCUUUUUUUU